GUGAAUCAUCGAAUUUUUGAACGCAAAUUGCACUCCCUUCGGAGAGGAGGCCUGUUUGAGGGUCAGUGUUAGUAAAAAUCGGUGUGUUGCUUCUUUGUGACGCUCCGGAGUUUGGGUCAUCUUAAUAUCCUUUAUUUUUUAAGAGGCUUAAAAUUGACUUUUUUUGCUCAUUUUAGAUGUACAGAAAUUCUUUUUUUUAUUCGUUUGUCUUUAUUUUCUAAAUCCUAUUAGAUGCAACCAUAUCGU
rnacentral:misc_RNA from 1 species